rnacentral:rRNA from 1 species
UACGUAGGGUGCGAGCGUUGUUCGGAUUCAUUGGGCGUAAAGGGUGCGUAGGCGGCGCGGUAAGUCGGGUGUGAAAUCUCAGAGCUUAACUCCGAAACUGCAUUCGAUACUGCCGUGCUUGAGGACUGGAGAGGAGACUGGAAUUUACGGUGUAGCGGUGAAAUGCGUAGAUAUCGUAAGGAAGACCAGUGGCGAAGGCGGGUCUCUGGACAGUUCCUGACGCUGAGGCACGAAGGUCAGGGGAGCAAACGGG